CGCCCGCGGCGAUGAUCGUCGUGUCAGGACCACUGCCCACGUAUCGACGAGGACACAAAAGGUUCAGUAGACUUUUUGCUUUAAAUGAAUGGUUGUUGUCAUGGUGUAAAGAACAGAAACUGCUAUUUGUUAAUAACUGGAAUCUUUUCUGGGAGCGUCCUAGGCUGUUUCGUGCUGAUGGAUUACACCCCAGCAGAAUCGGAGCGGAGCUGCUCUCUGACAACAUCUCCAGGACACUUCGCUCCAUGUGACUAGAUUUACACAAGCUCCAGUCUGGAUCCAGAACACCUGAGAAGAGAUGAUGCUGACCCUCAGAGGACCCCAGAUGAUGCUAACCUUGAAUCAACAAACAGAACUAACAAUUAUUGCUACAUGUGUGACUGCAUCAUAUAAUAACUAUUAAUUAAUAAUAUUGAUAGUUCAUCGUCUAGCUGACUACGUCUUGUAUUAUUAUUAUUAUU